rnacentral:lncRNA from 1 species
UUCACACUAGAUUUUGAUAACAUUAACAUCAUCAUAGACAUUUAUCAUGUUUAUUUGGUUAAUAGGAAAGGGGUGUGACAGCAAACUAAUUAGCAGUCCUUUUUUUUUUUAAUAAUUUCCUCCCCAUUUCAUGAUAGACAGUGAUGUUUUUUGUUGUACAAAACAGGGAAUUAAUGUGAUAGCAUCCCACGUCUGAAUCUUCACCUUAAGUAUGAGCAGAUGAAUCUCAUUAUAAGGUUUAAGUUUACUAAAUUAACAAAGUCCAAUGAGAAAACAUAAUAUAGAAUGAAAAAAAUUCUAG